AGACAUUGAAAAUUAUGGUGAAAAAUAAUAUCCGCAAUCAAAACUGAUUUGCCAUUUUUUCCCCGGAGGAAACAACAUGAUUUUCUUGAAAAAGGAUCGCUUUCAAAGGAUAUUUUACGUGAUAUUAGCCACGCAUAUUUAACGUCAUGUUUCCUUAUUAUUCAAAACUCUUAUUGAGGUUUUUUUUUCUUUUUUUUAAAAAAAAAGAAACGCCAUUACUUGCUGCAACGUCUCUUGCCUUGUUAAAUUAUCUAAUGUUCAGAUUUCGAGGUUUUCUUUAUCCAUUGUUUCUAAUUUAAUCGAAUUUUGAUAAUUGAUAGUGUUGAUAAUCUAUGAAAUGAAUUUCCCUAAAGUAACUCACAGUGUAGUUUAUGAAACAAUUACGAAUAGAUCAAACCGUUUGGAGUCGCCGUACGAAAGAUUUUAUCAAUAAUGUUACAAACCAUUGCUCAGUAGCUCCCGAAGUUCCUCCAGAGAAAAGAUAAAAUCCAAUCAAGUUUCAAGCCUCUCGAAAAAGGUUCUUAAAGAUUUUAAUCAUCUUUCAAAAACUUCAUUCUCAGUCUUUUUUUUAUUUUUAUUUUUCUUUAAAAUGUUUGCAUCAAAUGAAAAUACACUUCACCGGUAGCAAAUUUGUCUUGCGUUUAGGUUUCAGUAAAAUAUAUUUAAUAAUUAUUUUGACGUAAACUAAUCAACGUUUUCACAAAUUCUCGGAUGCAUAAAUAAAUUAUUUGAAAAAAUGUUGCUUAGAUGUGCAAAAUGAAAGUUACAUACUUUAAGCUUUUUGUUGAGUUGCAGUUAUUUUGAAUAUCAUUGUGCCCAAUGGUGUAUACUCGCGAGUUUUAAAUUUGCGUGGGUGUAAAAUGAAUGAUGCUGAGAAUGAUGGGAAUGGCAUCUUUUACGGAUAAUCGUACUCAUCGAAAUAAAAUCUGAAGAUGAGUUUUCUCAGAAUUUUUUGGACAACCGCUUUUCUGCCUGGAGUGCUCCUUUUAGAGUUAAACACCUUGGAUCCAUACAUACGACACGUCAUAGAAAGACAAAAGAAUAAAACAUACGAGGAGCGUGAAACAUCUAUGACUGUAAAUGACAUCGUCGGAGAUGUUAUUGAGUGUACACCGCAAUUUGGACUGAGGGUAGCGUAUUAUAGUGAGAACAUUGUUGACUACGGCAACAUUAUCGACUCCACAGACUGUCUCUCGCCACCGGUCGUGGUUGAGUGGCCCGCUGAAAAAGACGCGUACUAUACGCUAUCAUUAGUUGGUCCUGAUUACCCCUCCCGAUAUAAUAGGACAGAAAACACAGAAUGGAACUAUUGGUUGGUUGCUAACAUCUUUGGGAACAAGUGGUCAAAGGAGAAGUUCUCGCUGAGUAUAUCGGACCUCACUUAUUCAAAACCUAGGUAACCGUUGCAGUUAUGUUGGGUAAGAAUUAAACUAAAAAUAACGUUAGUUACCUGUGAGUUAUCUUUUCGUCCUGGUUUUUCGUGAUUAAUUUUUUGUGGCCUGAAGAAGGAAAUAAUUUCUCCGAAAUGUACAUCGCUUAUACAAGAAUUACUCAAGAAAAACCAGGACGAAAAGAUAACUCACAGGUAACCAAUACCCAAAUCUGGUACAAUGAAAACCCAUAUAAUUUAAAAAUAAGUGUUAUUUUAAAAAGGAUGAAAAGAAAGGAGUAAUGAUAGAAAUAGUGCAUUUUACUGUUUCUGAACGAGAGAAAUACUUUUUUGGAAGUUUCAUAUUUUUGCAGGUGACAUAAACUCGCGUUUUCUCACUUUCUCGGCUCAUAUAUCAAAUGUAACUCCCCAGAAGAUUUGAUAGAGUCAAUCUGACCCGGCUUGAGAUUUCUAGGGGUAUUCGUCAAAAUAAUAAUUCCCGACACGACACAACUCUCGCCCAAUUUCCCAAUGUUCAGACUUGCGCCCUUCAACGUGCUUGAUAUAUAUGUAAACACGUGUUUUCCUGUUCCUCCAGAAAUAAUUAGUAAUGGGUCAGUUGCGCUGGUCACAGUAUUGUGUUUUGAUGCUUGAUUCUUGUAGGUUAGCUAAGAAUAUUAAGAUCUGUCCAAACAAAAACUUUCUACGUUCAAUUUUAAUCGUGAUAUCGCCCUUUGAAAGUUGCGUUUUUGACGUCAUUCACCGCGGUAGUGACAUCCUUGGUUUCUUCCACCUGGCUUUCAUCCGCGUUUCACGUACAGUAAUCAGUGCUAAUGUGUGUCUUCCUGACUGAUAAAACCAAGGUGAAAGAAAUCAAGGGUGUCACUACUGCGGGGAAUGACGUCAAAAACCCGAACGUAAGUUCGAAAGUUGCGGUUUGGACUAGAUCUUAAUAUUGUUAGCUUAUCCACAAGAAUCAAGCAUCAAAACACAAUUAUGUGACCGCAACUGAUCCAUUUGGACACCAUGGUAUAUUUUAAGCAAACUUAUUCUCAACUUUUCACAAAGUUCAAAAAUAUGUGACAUCCCAACGCGCGUUGAUGACAGCGCAGAGAUGCAUCUAUUCGUGCUUAAUGGAUGUCUGUGUGGCAUCUGCUAAAUUGAGGGCGCGACGGUAGGAGGCACUCGAAAUGCUCCGCUGUAUGCUGCCAAUGAAGUGUCGAUCCAGUUUGGGUUAAAAGUAAAAAAUGAGACGUGAUUACGUCUCUCUUAUCGUUGGCUGCGUUGUUUGCUUAGCCCUUGAAGCACCACUAUAAAAAUAAGACAAACGGAACCAAAAUGCCAUGAAUAUGGAGCAUAGUAAAGGACGCGCGUUGAUAACGGCGCAGAGAUGCAACUAUUCGUACUCGAUGGAUGACCGUGUUGCAUCUCGAAAUUUGAAGGCGCCAUGGUGCGAGGCGCGAAGUCAGAAUGCUUCACUCCAUAUUGCAAAUGAAGAAAAUUUAAAAAACGAGGCCCAAAUAUGUCUCUCCUAUCUUUGGUCGUGUUGACUUCUGAUUUUUUUUAUUUUUUAAAAGUUAAAAUUCUAAAGGAUGCUCCGUUCUGUGAAAGCUCUUUUAGAUUGUGUCCUUUUAGGAAAGAGAUGGGAGAGAAAGGGAAGAGAGAAAAACAAAGGAGACUGAGUUAAGAGAAAGAGAAAAAUAAUUUAUCUGACCCCUGAUCAAUUUUUCGUCUAGUAUAAAAAUUGAGCCUGCCGUACAUAAUACACUUUCACCUUCAACAGGUUUCCAUAGAUACGUGUUUCUGGUCUACAGACAGCCAAUUGGAGCAAUGAAAUUUGACGAGCCCCAUCUAGACAACACGUAUGUAAUGUUUAAUCUUGAGUCCCCAUAAAUUAGGCAUUCCUGCACUACGUACAUCCAUCUAGAGGAUAUUAAAUUUCUACAACGAUGAACGAGUUUGAAUGUACAAGUAUGCUCCAUUCUUUUUUGCCCUCAUUUUAGGAUGUAAAUUCAUCGAGUGAGAAGAGAACGGGAGCGGAUGAAUUCCGAUACAAAGUUUCACCAUAAAACAUCUUUUUCCAUUUAUUAAUAGGCGUGCGUUUGACUUCGGCACUAGUUUUUCGAAAUUUUUGUCAGAUUAUAUAUAAAAUUUCUCAAAAAUUUCCAUAGAAAUUUGCAACUGUAUCUUUUAGAGGAAAAUAAUAAAUUGACAAAAAUGAAACUCUGCAACGUUACGAUUCGAUUCAACCUCGCUGACUCUCUAUCCUUCAUUUAUUGCAUUUCCUCAUCCUCCUUAAUUUCCAGUUUUUUUCGACCGCUUGUAAUUUAUUGUAUUCUUAACCGUAGCUCAUAAUAUCAAGGGUGACUAGGUGUGUCAAAAUCAAAUCUCGAGGAGUAUCGGACAGUGAGAUAAAAGGAAAACUUGUUAGUUGCAGCGAGUCAUGAAUGUAGAAUUGUCAAAAUUUGGUGCAUGCAAGUAAAGUUUAAAGAAAAAUUUCAACUUUUUUUACGAUGAAAAUUGUCAGAUACUUGUUGUCUACUAAUUGUCGAUUUUUUAUCAUCCGCGAGGGGAGCGAGAAAGUAACAAUUGAAUAUGCAAAAAAUUAUUCUAAAUGCUACAGAUUUUGGUGAAAAAUUUAAAAAAUCCACUACACAACUCCUUUAUUGAUAUUGAGGAUGAAUUGAUACUCUAGUUU
rnacentral:lncRNA from 1 species